GACUUGAUAUGGCUGAAAAACAAAACACGAGAACCUCACGAAGCAUACAGAAGUUUCAAUAACUGAAUUGACCAAGCAUCAGAAAGGAUAUCAGAGAUUGAAGAUCAACUCAAUGAAGUAAAAUGAGAAGGCAAAAUUAGAGAAAAAAGAGU